AGCGAACGCUGGCGGCAGGCUUAACACAUGCAAGUCGGGCGGGCACUUUCGGGUGUCAGCGGCGGACGGGUGAGUAACGCGUGGGAACGUGCCCUCUGGUUCGGAAUAACUCAGGGAAACUUGAGCUAAUACCGGAUACGCCCUUUUGGGGAAAGGCUUGCUGCCGGAGGAUCGGCCCGCGUCUGAUUAGCUAGUUGGUGAGGUAACGGCUCACCAAGGCGACGAUCAGUAGCUGGUCUGAGAGGAUGAUCAGCCACACUGGGACUGAGACACGGCCCAGACUCCUACGGGAGGCAGCAGUGGGGAAUAUUGGACAAUGGGCGCAAGCCUGAUCCAGCCAUGCCGCGUGAGUGAUGAAGGCCUUAGGGUUGUAAAGCUCUUUUAUCCGGGACGAUAAUGACGGUACCGGAGGAAUAAGCCCCGGCUAACUUCGU
rnacentral:rRNA from 1 species